rnacentral:rRNA from 1 species
GCCGCGUGGAUGAUGAAGGCUUCGGGUCGUAAAAUCCUGUCAGGUGGAAAGAAAUGUAUGUUGGUUAAUACCCUUCAUAUUUGACGGUACCACCAAAGGAAGCACCGGCUAACUCCGUGCCAGCAGCCGCGGUAAUACGGAGGGUGCAAGCGUUGUUCGGAAUUACUGGGCGUAAAGCGCGCGUAGGCGGUUUGUUAAGUCAGAUGUGAAAGUCCACGGCUCAACCGUGGAAGUGCAUUUGAAACUGGNAGACUUGAGUACUGGAGGGGGUGGUGGAAUUCCCGGUGUAGAGGUGAAAUUCGUAGAUAUCGGGAGGAAUACCGGUGGCGAAGCGACCACCUGGCCAGAUACUGACGCUGAGGUGCGAAACGUGGGGAGCAAACAGGAUUAGAUACCCUGGUAGUCCACGCCGUAACGAUGUCA